rnacentral:tRNA from 1 species
UGGGAUAGCUUAGUCAGUAGGGCAUAAGACUCUUAAUCUCAGGGUCAUGGGUUCAAGCCUCAUAUUGGGCAAAA